rnacentral:rRNA from 1 species
UAUAUUGGACAAUGGGGGCAACUCUGAUCCAGCCAUGCCGCGUGUGUGAAGAAGGUCUGCGGUUUGUAAAGCACUGUAAGUGGGGGGGAAGGGCUUUAGGUUAAUACCCUGAGGUAUUUACGUUACCAACAGAAUAAGCACCGGCUAACACUGUUCCAGCAGCCGCGGUAAUACAGAGGGUGCAAGCGUUAAUCGGAAUUACUGGGCGUAAAGCGCGCGUAGGUGGUUCAGUAAGAUGGGUGUGAAAUCCCCGGGGUUAACCUGGGAACUGCUUUCAUAACUGCUGAGCUAGAGUACGGUAGAGGGUAGUGGAAUUUCCUGUGUAGCGGUGAAAUGCGUAGAUAUAGGAAGGAACACCAGUGGCGAAGGCGACUACCUGGACUGAUACUGACACUGAGGUGCGAAAGCGUGGGGAGCAAAC